rnacentral:rRNA from 1 species
UGGGGAAUAUUGGACAAUGGGCGAAAGCCUGAUCCAGCCAUGCCGCGUGUGUGAAGAAGGUCUUCGGAUUGUAAAGCACUUUAAGUUGGGAGGAAGGGCAGUAAGCGAAUACCUUGCUGUUUUGACGUUACCGACAGAAUAAGCACCGGCUAACUCUGUGCCAGCAGCCGCGGUAAUACAGAGGGUGCAAGCGUUAAUCGGAAUUACUGGGCGAAAAGCGCGCGUAGGUGGUUCGUUAAGUUGAAUGUGAAAGCCCCGGGCUCAACCUGGGAACUGCAUCCAAAACUGGCGAGCUAGAGUAGGGCAGAGGGUGGUGGAAUUUCCUGUGUAGCGGUGAAAUGCGUAGAUAUAGGAAGGAACACCAGUGGCGAAGGCGACCACCUGGGCUCAUACUGACACUGAGGUACGAAAGCAUGGGGAGCAAACAGG